UAGACCCGAAACCGGGUGAUCUAUCCAUGAGCAGGUUGAAGCAAGGGUAAAGCCUUGUGGAGGACCGAACCAGUUCUGGCUGAAAACAGUUUGGAUGACUUGUGGAUAGGGGUGAAAGGCCAAUCAAACCCGGUGAUAGCUGGUUCUCCCCGAAAUAUAUUGAGGUAUAGCCUUGCGGAUUGUCUUAUGGAGGUAAAGCUCUGACAGAACUAGGGGUCCUAUCCGACUACCGAAUUCUUUCAAACUCUGAAUACCAUUAAGAUUUACCGCAGGAGUCAGACGGCGGGUGCUAAGGUUCGUCGUCAAAAGGGCAACAGCCCAGACCGACAGCUAAGGCCUCCAAAUGCAUGCUCAGUGGUUAAGGUGGUGGCGUUGUGUAGACACCCAGGACGUUGGCUUAGAAGCAGCCAUCGUUUAAAGAAAGCGUAAUAGCUCACUGGUUCAAUGGCGCUGCGCCGAAAAUGUAACGGGGCUAAGCAUGCUGCCGAAGCUUCGGAUUUGUCUCUGACAACUGGUAGGGGAGCGUUCUCUGCGGGCUGAAGCGGAACCGAAAGGUUUCGUGGACUGCAGAGAAGUGAUUAUGCUGACAUGAGUAACGAUAAAAUAUGUGAAAAACAUAUUCGCCGUAAAUCCAAGGUUUCCUGGGUAAAGGUAAUCUUCCCAGGGUUAGUCGGACCCUAAGGCCAGGCUGAAAGGCGUAGCUGAUGGGAAACGGGUUAAUAAUCCUGUACUUGUGCGAUUGUGCGAAGAAGGGACGCAGGAUGGUAGACAGGCCGGUUUUUGGAAUCCGGUGCAAGUGUGUAGGUAUGCCCCGCAGGCAAAUCCGCGGGGAUGAGCCGAGACACGAGUCCGUGGGCGUAAGCCCUGAAGCUGUUGAGCCACGGCUGCCAAGAAAAGCUUCUAAGUUUAGAUCGCGCGAACCGUACCGCAAACCAACUCAGGUGGAUGGGAUGAAUAAUCCAAGGCGCUCGAGAGAACUCUGGCCAAGGAACUCGGCAAAUUGACCCCGUACCUUCGGAAUAAGGGGUGCUCCCCACGGUGAGACAAAUUCUUGUUCAGCCCCGGGGAGCCGCAGAGAAAUGGUGGUGGCGACUGUUUACUAAAAACAUAGGUCUGUGCGAAGUCCUACAGACGACGUAUACGGACUGACGCCUGCCCGGUGCCGGAAGGUUAAAAGGAGGAGUCAGCGCAAGCGAAGCUCCGAUUUGAAGCCCCGGUAAACGGCGGCCGUAACUAUAACGGUCCUAAGGUAGCGAAAUUCCUUGUCGGGCAAGUUCCGACCUGCACGAAUGGCGUAACGAUCUCCACGCUGUCUCGGCCAGAGACUCGGUGAAAUUGAAGUCGCGGUGAAAAUGCCGUGUACCCGCAGAAAGACGGAAAGACCCUGUGCACCUUUACUAUAGCUUGACAUUGGGUUUUGAACCUGCAUGUGUAGGAUAGGUGGGAGGCUGUGAAAGCUGUACGCCAGUAUGGCCGGAGCCACCCGUGAAAUACCACCCUUGUUUGUUCAGGACCCUAACUCGCAGCUGUAAUCCAGCGCGAAGACAGUGUCUGGUGGGUAGUUUGACUGGGGCGGUCGCCUCCUAAAGAGUAACGGAGGCAUGCAAAGGUUCCCUCAGGCUGAUUGGAAACCAGCCGUUGAGUGCAAGCGCAUAAGGGAGCUUGACUGCAAGAGAGACAUCUCGAACAGAUACGAAAGUAGGUGCUAGUGAUCCGGUGGUCCCGAAUGGAAGGGCCAUCGCUCAUUGGAUAAAAGGUACGCCGGGGAUAACAGGCUGAUCGCAUCCAAGAGUUCACAUCGACGAUGCGGUUUGGCACCUCGAUGUCGGCUCAUCACAUCCUGGGGCUGAAGCAGGUCCCAAGGGUACGGCUGUUCGCCGUUUAAAGUGGUACGCGAGCUGGGUUUAAAACGUCGUGAGACAGUUUGGUCCCUAUCUUCUGUGGGCGUAGGAGAAUUGAGAGGGUUUGUCCCUAGUACGAGAGGACCGGGAUGAACGCACCACUGGUGGAUCAGUUGUCGCGCCAGCGGCAUAGCUGAGUAGCUAUGUGCGGAAUGGAUAACCGCUGAAAGCAUCUAAGCGGGAAGCCAGCCUCGAGAUAAGUUCUCCCUGUCGCAAGACACUAAAGGGCCGAUGAAGACUACAUCGUUGAUAGGCCGGAGGUGGAAGCGCUGCGAAGCGUGGAGCUGACCGGUACUAAUAGCCCGUGCGCCUUAUAUUU
rnacentral:rRNA from 1 species